rnacentral:rRNA from 1 species
UACGUAGGGUGCAAGCAUUAUCCGGAUUCACUGGGUUUAAAGGGUGUGUAGGCGGGCUGUUAAGUCAGUGGUGAAAUCUCCGGGCUCAAUUUGGAAACUACCAUUGAUACUAUCAGUCUUGAAUCUUGUUGAGGUGGGCGGAAUAUGUCAUGUAGCGGUGAAAUGCUUAGAUAUGACAUAGAACACCGAUUGCGAAGGCAGCUCACUAAGCAAGUAUUGACGCUGAGGCACGAAAGCGUGGGGAUCAAACAGG